CCUACGGGUGGCAGCAGUGGGGAAUAUUGGGCAAUGGGCGCAAGCCUGACCCAGCAACGCCGCGUGAAGGAAGAAGGCUCUCGGGUUGUAAACUUCUUUUAUCAGGGACGAAGCAAGUGACGGUACCUGAUGAAUAAGCCACGACUAACUACGUGCCAGCAGCCGCGGUAAUACGUAGGUGGCAAGCGUUAUCCGGAUUUACUGGGUGUAAAGGGCGGGUAGGCGGGAAAGCAAGUCAGAUGUGAAAAACAUGGGCUCAACCUGUGGCCUGAAUUUGAAACUGUUUUUCUUGAGUACUGGAGAGGCAGACGGAAUUCCGAGUGUAGCGGUGAAAUGCGUAGAUAUUAGGAGGAACACCAGUGGCGAAGGCGGUCUGCUGGACAGCAACUGACGCUGAGGCGCGAAAGCGUGGGGACCAAACAGGAUUAGAUACCCCAGUGUC
rnacentral:rRNA from 1 species